UAAAACACAAUGACAAAGAAGAGUAAUUUUAAGUUUUUAAAAGAGAGGUUGUGGGUGGUGUAAACAACUAAAAACUUACUAUGAAUGGAGCUUUGGAGUGUAUGAAUUUGUAAGGAGGGCUAAUAGCCAAAAAGGGUGGAACCGCGGAAGUAUGUUUUUCGUCCCUUUA
rnacentral:ncRNA from 1 species